rnacentral:rRNA from 1 species
CAAUAGCGUAUAUUAAAGUUGUUGCAGUUAAAAAGCUCGUAGUUGGAUUUCUGAUCGAGACAUCAGGUCGGGUCCGAGAGGAUCAUGUACUUUGAUUUGUUUUGAUCAUCCGUGGGGAGAGCAUUUCUGGCAUUCAGUUGUCGGGAUUGGGAUCCUCAUCGUUUACUGUGAAAAAAUUAGAGUGUUCAAAGCAGGCCUCGGCCUCUGAAUACAUUAGCAUGGAAUAAUAAGAUAGGACUUUGGUGGUCUAUUUUGUUGGUUUGCACGCCAAAGUAAUGAUUAAUAGGGAUAGUUGGGGGUAUUCGUAUUCAAUUGUCAGAGGUGAAAUUCUUGGAUUUAUGGAAGACGAACUACUGCGAAAGCAUUUACCAAGGAUGUUUUCAUUAA